CCUCCCACCCUCUUCUCUCUGCUGAUCCCCGCGACCCGCGUUUUCCUGGGGGUCCGCAACUCCGGACCCCAGGCGCCGGCCCUCCGCUCAGGACGGCUGAGACCUCGCCACAGGACGCCCCUUGCCCAUGUCCACCCAUAAGCAGAUGGCCUCCCCCGCCCCAACAGCGUGAGGAUUUGGGGGGGAACGCGGGGGGGACCGCCCGCCCCCACCGCUUCCCCGAGGCCCGGCUUGCGGGACCCCCGGGGCCGGGCGGGCGCGGGAGCCCGCAGGGGCGGGGAGCCGGCCGAGGUAGGUGGAGGAACUAUUUCUUGACGUAAUCCGUCUCUGUCGGCCCCGACGCGCCCGCAGCCUCUGCGCGAGCCGAGCCCAGCGAUUGUCAGCUCGGAACGUGGCUUUUUAAAAAUGCGAUUUUAAAUAGUGUGUCUCUUGAAGAAGUGGAGGAGAGACCUGCACAACUUAAGUGGGGAGCGUUCGCAUCCCGUCUUCCUGCUCAGCCCGCCUCUGCCCCCAGCUCCAGCUCUGCGACACAACCCCCCACCCCCAAAAAAAGAAGUCACUCCCGGGGCUCUGCCUGCAGAGAGCCAGGGUGAGAGCGGGCGAGGCGAGAGAGCGACCUCGGUCGUGGGCAAGUAGCUUGUUUUUACGUCCUUCAAUAAAAUUUUUAUGAGGAUCA